UACGUAGGGGGCAAGCGUUGUCCGGAUUUAUUGGGCGUAAAGAGCGUGUAGGCGGUUUGGUAGGUCCGCUGUGAAAACUCGAGGCUCAACCUCGAGACGCCGGUGGAAACCAUCAGGCUAGAGUCCGGAAGAGGAGAGUGGAAUUCCUGGUGUAGCGGUGAAAUGCGCAGAUAUCAGGAAGAACACCCGUGGCUAAGGCGGUUCUCUAGUACGGCACUGACGCUGAGACGCGAAAGCGUGGGGAGCGAACAGG
rnacentral:rRNA from 1 species